rnacentral:misc_RNA from 1 species
AAAGUCGUAACAAGGUUUCUGUAGGUGAACCUGCGGAAGGAUUAUUAACGUAGGGCUCUAGCCCUGCCAAGAUAGAACCCUUGCCUUUUCGAGUACUACACGUUUCCUUAGCAGGCCCGCCUGCUAAUAGGGACCUAAACACAAACCUUUUAUCAACUGUUACUGUCUAAGAAAACAAAACAAAAAUUAAAACUUUUAACAACAGAUCUCUUGGUUCUA